rnacentral:lncRNA from 1 species
AUGCUUGAACAAUUUUUUUCUGACACACACACACACACUCGCAUACACACGCACGCACACACACAUGCGCACCCGCACCAUUUUUCUCUGUUGUCGCACGGUGCUCAUCCAGACAGGGCUUGCUCUAGAAACACAAAAGUUAACGUUGCAUUCAGCAGAAUGUCUCCCGAUGUUAUCUCCCACACUCCACAGUUGAAAUCCAAAGUAGAAAGCCAAAAUUCAAGCAAGCCUAAGCAAGAAGCAUGUUUGGCUAUUAUAAAAGAUGCUGACUGUGGUAACCAGCUAAAAGAACAUUCAUCUCUACAAUAAAGGAUAAGAACUGACAAAGUGGACUGUGGCAGAGGGGCGGUUGGAUACAGCCCAGUGGAUCAACACACAGGGUCCAAAAAGCUCUGUCAUUUCCAAUGAAAGCCACUGGCAUCAUGAGACUCAGUCCAGAAUGCAAAGAAAAAGAAAUUCUUCAAGCAUUUGGUUCAGAAAUCAAGCAACAAUGUAAUCUUGGUCAUGUUCAGUAUGACAUCUAGGAAGAAGAAACAGUAUUGUCUGGUAGAAACUAACCAAGAAGGGAUGACUUUCCAGAAGGACUAGGAAGCCAGCUUUCUCCUCAAACUGUAGCACUCUAUAAUGGUCCAUCGCUGGAAAUUCCACCAUUAUAAAGACACUCUUUUUGUUUCUCAUUUCUAUAUUCCUUCUCUAAUAAUGCAAACAUGAAGAUAUGAAAUCAAAAAUUCCUUAGUAUGAACUUAUUUCAACAUGCGCUUUUCAACA